ACCAACAACUUCAACAACCAAAAUAAAUAUUUUCUUGGAAUUAAAAACGAGUUGGUGUGUGGGGGUAUAAACCAACCAACACUAAGGAUCAUCAAUCUCUCAACAUACAAUAAAUUACAACUCAAAUACACAGCCCAAUCCUGUCCCACAACCAACAAUAACUUCAACAACACAACUAACAACAUCAACAACAACUAACAACUUCAACAACUUCAACAACAACUAAAAAUCUCUUCUCAAAUCAUAAAAACGAGCUUGGUAUGUGGGGGGGAAGGAUAAACCCACACUAAAGACUCACAUACCUUGAUAGGGAUCACCCCCGACGAAAAAUCCACGAUGAUCUCCUUGAUUGCUCUUCUCUUUCUCCUCUUCCUUCUCUUCUUUCUCUCUUCUCUCCCAAGCCCUAGCUCUUUACUACUUUAAAAAAAAAUGAGAC
rnacentral:lncRNA from 1 species